UUUCCGUAGGUGAACCUGCGGAAGGAUCAUUAAUCCAGGCGCGGACCCCUCCGGGGGCGAGCGCCGCCUUCACACCAACCCUCUGCCUACGCGUACCCCCAUCGCUUCCUCGGCAGGCUCGCCUGCCGCCAGGAACCAACCAAACCCCUUGCAUCGUACAUGAAAACCUCCGAUACCAACCUAAAUUAUUACAACUUUUAACAAUGGAUCUCUUGGUUCUGGCAUCGAUGAAGAACGCAGC
rnacentral:misc_RNA from 1 species